rnacentral:misc_RNA from 1 species
CCGAGUUUUCAACUCCCAAACCCCCUGUGAACUUAUACCUGUUCGUUGCCUCGGCGGGCUCGCCCCCGGCCGCCCUCGGGCGGUCAGGAACCAGGCGCCCGCCGGAGGAACCACCAAACUCUAUAUUUUUCAGGCGUCGUCUGAGUGUAACAUAACAAAUGAAUCA